UGAGGAAUAUUGGGCAAUGCCCGCAAGGGUGACCCAGCAACGCCGCGUGGAGGAUGAAUGUCGUAAGAUUGUAAACUCCUGUUAGAGGGGAAGAAUAGUACCGGUUGGACCGGUAUAUGACUGUACCCUCAGAGAAAGCCCCGGCUAACUACGUGCCAGCAGCCGCGGUAAUACGCAGGGGGCAAGCGUUGUCCGGAUUUACUGGGUGUAAAGGGCGCGCAGGCGGGAUAAAAAGUCAGUGGUGAAAUCCUACGGCUUAACUGUAGAACUGCCUUUGAUACUUUUAUUCUUGAGUUCGGGAGAGAGAGACGGAAUUCCAGGUGUAGUGGUGAAAUACGUAGAUAUCUGGAAGAACACCAGUUGCGAAGGCGGUCUCUUGAUCCGACACUGACGCUGAGGCGCGAAAGCGUGGGGAGCAAACA
rnacentral:rRNA from 1 species